UACGAAGGGGGCUAGCGUUGUUCGGAAUUACUGGGCGUAAAGGGCGCGUAGGCGGUACUUCAAGUCGCGUGUGAAAGCCCCCGGCUCAACUGGGGAGGGUCACGCGAUACUGAUCGACUCGAAGGCAGGAGAGGGUAGUGGAAUUCCCGGUGUAGUGGUGAAAUGCGUAGAUAUCGGGAGGAACACCAGUGGCGAAGGCGACUACCUGGCCUGUUCUUGACGCUGAGGCGCGAAAGCUAGGGGAGCAAACGGG
rnacentral:rRNA from 1 species